rnacentral:rRNA from 1 species
AUUGAACGCUGGCGGCAGGCCUAACACAUGCAAGUCGAACGAGUGGCGGACGGGUGAGUAAUGUCUGGGAAACUGCCCGAUGGAGGGGGAUAACUACUGGAAACGGUAGCUCAUACCGCAUACCAUCGGAUGUGCCCAGAUGGGAUUAGCUAGUAGGUGGGGUAACGGCUCACCUAGGCGACGAUCCCUAGCUGGUCUGUGAGGAUGACCGGCCACACUGGAACGGAGACACGGUCCAGACUCCUACUGGAGGCAGCAGUGGUGAAUAGUGCACAAUGGGCGGAAGCCUGAUGCAGCCAUGCCGCGUGUAUGAGAAAGGCCUUCGGGUUGUAGAGUACUUUCAGCGAGGAGGCGUUACUCGCAGAAGAAGCACCGGCUAACUCCGUGCCAGCAGCCGCGGUAAUAC